ensembl:lncRNA
CCUUUUAGAGCUUUCAAUGGUACAAACAUCCGGCUGCAGCAUACAUGCCACAGGUUUGCCACCACUGGUUUAAGCUGUUCCCAGGCACUGAAGGAGGAGUUUAACUGGAUAAUUGCAAGGUCCCUGCUCAUUUACAGGUGCUUUUGAAGAUACAGAAAAGAUGAAAAAUUUCUAAGAAAAUGGGAAACUAAUACUGACAUGGCAUUAACUGUUAGAGUUUUGGAGAAAAUUCCACUAAACACAACAUUUAUGGAGAGGAAUAACAGAGAAAUCCAAUCAGAUACACUGCCAGAUUUUGCUGCUUGGAGGAGCAAACAUACUCCUGGAAAGACAGGCUGGAGCUUCAUUUCUCCUCACCGCCUACUUCUUGGACCAGUAUUCUCAGUAUGAGCCUUCACCUAAACACUAGAUGUUCCCUCUGAGCCACGCAGCUGCCACUUUCAAGGUCACCUGAAUCCUAUCGUGCCCAUCCUCAAACAAUUUCCUUUUAAACAAUUUAUUAGACUUUGGGGAAAAAAACAGGAGAGGAUCUAAGAGGAUGGGUUGUGGUAACUAGACUUAGGGAAACAAAUUUAAUAAACCAGAGGAAAUGGAAAUACACCUGUUACUUGUUCAGCUUUUCCAUGCUCUUAACUGAAUGACUGUUAUCCAGUGGUUUUCAACAUGUUAUAGUCUGUACUACCUUAAAUGUAUCCUGACUCAAUCUAAAUAUUUCCACCUACCUUUGAUUUUUGUCAAGCUUUGCAUAACUUAGUUGUGAUCAUAUGAUAUAUGUUUUUUUAACAUCCCUUGUCAAAAAAUAUAUGUACUUGACCCCUAUCCUUAUUGUGUAUAUAUGAAACACGGAUCUAGACAUCAAAAUCUGAGUUAUGCACUGAUCUUAUCAAUAUGUUUAGGUCUGCCACAUGGAGGAUCCUAUAUACCUACAACUGGACAAUGAGUAAGAGGAGGAAAGAGAGGCUAGAUGCCCUGGCAAUUAACUAACACAAGAACUGUGGACAGAGACCCUCAUUUUAGGAAAGGGAAAAAGAAGAAUACAAUGUAGAAUAAUUUUUUAUCAUCAUGAAAAAUAUCUCUAGAAAUGAUUUCACAAGAAAUCUAAAAAUGUAGCAAAUAUUUUUGCUUCUUCAGUAUAAUAGAAAAAAUGUAGAAGUUCCAUAAAUCAGCAAUCACAAGAGUAAGGAAAGGUUGUGUUAUGAGGGAAAGAGCCUGGAUGAAUUAGGUGGGAGCUCAAUCAUUAAACUAGAAUUAGUGUUUGGAGCAGUAAAGAAUAGAAUUGAUGUUGUGGAAAAUUGAAACACUAAUGUGGGCCAUAAUUUUGAGCUUUCCCAGAAUGCAGAAAGAUAAAUAUAAAAAAGUAGUAAGAAAAUAUGGCAGAUAAAGAAUUAAUAGGAAAAAACUUACUUAAUAUAACUAGCAUGCUCAAAGAGACAGAUAAAACUUAAUCAAAUCAAUCAUAAACUUAAAGUAACUAUGCUUUUCUUGGAUUGAAGACCUAUGUCUUAAAGUGAAUAAAAAUAGGUUUGCUUAAAAACAUAUGAGGACAAUAUUUAAAUAUGAAGCCAAACAAAAUAUCCUAAAAUUAUCUCAUAUGGUAGGAAACAAAAUUUAGUUCUAAAGGAAAUCAUAUGGCAUACCUUAUUCAGCAAUUACAUAUGCCAAAGAAAAAUGAGAAAUUUAUUAUAGAAAUUUGGAAGCAGAGAAAAAUACCUGAGAUCUUUAUACCAAUGCAAGUAGCUUUUCAUAUGUGACCACAACCAAAGGACCUUCUUAGGUAGUUAUGAAGUAAAGAUAAUAAUAGUUUUUGCAUAACCAUCUUGAGGACCACAGUGAGUCAUGAAUGGGAGAACAGACGACUGCCACCAGGUUGCCCAUAAAUGUAGGCUUCUCUAUUACCUGAGAGACAGUUAGACAUGUCACUAAAAUAAGAAAAGAACUAAGUAUAUGACAGAUCCAGCACACCAUGGGCUUUCAUUAAUCUUUGCUGGACUUUGAAGAGAGUUUCCUGGUUAUAACCAGAGGCCUCUCCCACGGAGAACAGCCAUCUGUCCUCUGGUGCUGUGAUCCUGGUUAAGUGACUUAAAUGUUCUGAGCCUCCAUUUUCCCUUCUGCAAAAUAAACUAUUUAGGGCUAAAAUAUUCUUCUGGUUUUAUUAUGCCAUGGCACUGAGAAUUCUGAGGACCUAUAAGCAGAUUUAUUAAGGGGCUAUACUUCAAUUUUUAAAAUUGUUCUGUACUAAUUUUUAAUUUACAAGCACACAAUUUACUUUAGGUAGACGCAUGGGGUAGCUAGUGGAAUUCAAAUAAAUAGGAAAUGGACAGAUCUAAAAUUGCAAAAGGCUAGUUGGGUAUGGUGGUGCAUUCCUAUAAUCCCAGCAUUUUGGGAGGCUGAGGAGUGAGGAUUGAAAAUUUGAGCCCAGCCUGGGAAAUCUAAUGACGUAGUGAGGCCCUAUCACAAAAUUUAAAAUGACUAAGAUGUAGCUCAGCGCAAAGACUUGGUUCAAUCCCUGGUACAGCUAAAUAAAUAAAUAAAUAAAUAAUAGCAAAAGGCAAAAACCUAUUAAACAAAUAGGUUCUGAGUGUAUAUAUAAGGCUCUAGCUUUUGUAUUUAAGGCCAAAUAAAGGUUUAAAAUGCUCCAGCCCACAAUAGCAUAAUAUUCAGGGUGGAUGGGAGAGAGUAUGGUUGUAAUGGGGUUAAAGAGGAGCACAGUGAGGUUUGUUAAUGGAAUCUCUACGUGGACUGUGUAGAAACUUAAAGCGCAUUAAUAAUAAAAGUCCUGCUUUAAAAACUGACCUUGUAGUUGAAAGAUACGCACUUGUAUCAUUACCAAUUAAUGUGUUAGGUAACAUAGCUUGUACUUGGAAAGCAACAAGGAGGAGUAUCUAAAUGAUAUUCACACAUCUUAAUUAGUGUCAUUAAUAGUCCCUUUGCCAUCUUUCAUGAAAGCAAUGGCUUUACACUGCAAGCAUCUUGUUAUAAGUCAAACCAGCAAGUUAGAGUUGAAGCCAAGUCCUUAAAAGUGCUUUUAAGUUAUGGUGUCUACAUGACUAGAAUGUUUCUCUAGGGUCUCUUUCCAGCUGUGGUACUCAGGAAGGCAGUCCACAGCAGAGCCAGAUCUGAAGGUAAUGAUGCACGGGCAGCAUUGCAAGAGCUUUGUGGAAUCAGAAUGCAAAAACAUCAGGAGGAAUAUUCAAGCCAAUUUUUUUCUUAUAACCACCCCCUCCACGAUUGACCUGUAAUUUUGAUAAUGUUGGCAGAAUAAUACAAACAUUUCAUCUAUGCAUUGAAUAUGUGCUACUGAAGAGCUGCAGAGAAUUUGAAGUAGGUUCUGAAAUUCACUAUGAAUGAAAGCCCGCUAAAAAGUCUUAUUAUUGAAGAAUGUUUGCACUUUAACUUACGGUGUGGCAUAUCCAAGCUGGCAUCCAUUCUGUAAGGGAUGCAUGUUAAUUAUUUUUCCUUUCCUAGAAACUAUAAUCUAUAUAAUCUAUACCUCAAAAUAAAUUUAACUGUUGAGUUUUCUCCUGACUCUAAAAGUACAAUAUCCCUUCUGAGAGGUCGAGUAAGGAAACUGGCAAAUUACAAAAUAGGAUGAAAUAAAGAAGAAAAACAUUUGAUGUAUGUCCAUCCAGACUCUUAUUCUACAUAAACUGUGCAAUUAUGAAUACAUAUAUAUUUUAAGUUAAAUAUUUAACAUACAUAUGCUGUGUUUUUCUCAUAUUCUUAUGUCAUUAAAAUUUUUCAAAAGCAUGAUCAACAUAAAAAUAACCUAUUUUUGUGGACCCGCAGUGCUAUAACAAGCUACUAUAGAUUUAGAUUGCUUAUAAACAACAGAAAUUCAUUUUGUUACAUUCUAGUGGAAGGGAAGUCUAAGCUCAAGAUGCCAGCAGAUUUGGGUCUAGCAAGGGCCUGCUUGCUGGUUCAGAGAAAAUGUCUUCUCAUGUCUCCUAUGGCAGGGCUGGACCUGGAGCGCCUUUAGUUAUCUUUUAUGAAGGCAUUAAUCCCAUUCAUGAGGGUUCUGUCUCUGUCUCUAAAUACCUCCCAAAGCCCUAAAUCAUGUUAAAUGUGUUGAUAAUUUCUUCUGUUUGAUUUAUUUUAUUAAAAUAGAUUCCUAGAAGCAUCAUUGCUAAGCUAAAGGGUACAUCCACCCUUUCAUACAUGUUGUCAAAUCCUCCUAGAAAAGUUAAACCAAUUUAUACUGCUACCAAUUUUAUAUGGAGGAGUCCAAAUUUGCAAGCUUUUUUACUUUUGUUUUUGGAUUAUUGUUAUGAUUACUGGGGAUAUUGGGGAUUAAACCUAGGGCCUUCGUUCUGAGCUACAUCCCCAACCCAUUCAGUUUUUUAUUUUGAGACAGGAUCUCACUAAAUUCCCCCAAGUUGGCUUAGAACUUUUCAUGCUCUUCCUGCUUCGGCAGUGCUAGGAUUGCAGGUGUGGGCCACCAGGCCUGGCUCUUGCUUUUCUGUUUGAUGGUAUGCUUUAUUAAUAGUGAAGAUGAAUGUUUUCAUAUUUAUUAGUUCUUUGUGUUCUUUCUUCUAAUAAUUAUCUGUUCAUAUUCUUUUAGGCACCAGAAUAUUAAUAGUAAUUGUUUCUUGGGGUCAAUAGGGUCCAUAUGCUUUAAGAAUAUUUAAAUUUAGGAUUUAAAAUGAAAAUGGAAAAAUCUAGCUCUCAUCCUACAGUAUAGAGUGAAAACAACAUCAUUAAAUGUGGUUCCAUAGAUGACUAACCGCACAUAAGAGAACGUGGCAGAAUCCAAGUUAAAAUCUGAAAAGGCUCAGCCAGUGUUCUGUGGUUUGACUGUUCUGAGUUCAUUUGUGGGCUGCAUUAACAUAGUCAUUUAAGAUCAGUUGAUUACAUAUCCAGGAUUAAAAGUUGGGGGAAUCAUAUUAAGGAUUCCAAUAGAAUGAUUUUAACUAAGAAUGUCUUACAAUACCAACGAACAUUAUUUUAAAAAUACAUUUACAACUUUCACAAGGACUUCCCCAUGCUCAACCCCACUAAAUCUCUUCAUUGCCAUUCCACUUUUUUCAAAUAGUACAGCAAUGUUCACUUUCAGGCAGCUCUUUGCUUCUGCCCCAACUUAAGCAUGCUAGGCACUUAAAUUUUUUAUAGAAAUCAUUUUUGAGUGUUAAAAAUGCAAAAUAAAAUUUAUAGGGUUAUAAUUUUAAUCCAUUAUAUUUAUGUAUCUUCCUUACUUUUGCAUGUAAAUGAAGAGUUGAGUUCUAGGAUAGCUAUUAUAGCAGCAGCUUAUUGUAGUCUAACUUGUGAACAUUUUUAGAAGACAUGGCAAGAAUUUGCCCUGAAAACACCUCCUUUCAACAAAAUAGAGACUCAACGUGAAAGAAAUUUUUGAAGACAGCCUAAAUUUACAUCUAUACUUAUACAAGUAUAGAGUUGGGUCAGUUUGUAAAACUUUUAUAUUUAACUUAAACUAUGCUUGCAAAGCCUCAUUUUUACUUAUCUUUAACUGAUCUAUUAUUUUCAUGUUUAUUUGCCUUCUGUAUAAAAUACCUUUGUUAUAGUAGUCUUCCCUUCUGAGACACAUACCCAUCUCUUACUUGGGUGCUGGUCCUAAGGUUAUACAGCUUAGCAGCAGGAGUUAUUUCUUUCUUCUCUUCUAUCUAUAAUUAUUUUAAAUUUGGCCUACCAUGUGUUUACUAUGCAUCUCAUUUUCUUUUUAAAUUAUACUACAUUUUUUAUUAUGUAGCAGAGUUGACUCAAUUCACCAUACUAUUCUAUUUAAUCAUUGACCAAAAGAAAUGUAUGCAUUCCCAUUUUAUUCCAGGUCAAAUAACUGAUCUUCAGAAAAAUUUUAAUUUGGCUGUGUUUCUCAGAACUGCUAAACAGAGCAGGAAAUUUUUAGGAAAAAUGCCAUGCAUAUAAACAUGAAUAGAAAGCAGUCUGCCUGUAUCCCACACAAAAAUAUUUUCAGACAACUUUAAUAUAUAUAUAUAUAUAUAUAUAUAUAAACAUUUAGAAAUGUGGAUGGAACCGUUAAAUGCCUUCUUGACUUCUUAAUUUAUCUAGUUAAUCACAUUCACAGAUUUAAAGUCUCACAGUAGUUUACGUGUGUGAACACAUUGCCCUUUUCCAGUUUCACCUUGCAUGAAAACACCUCAGCAUGGCGAUGAAAAGUCCCAGACACUGGAUCAGGAUCUCCAUUUUUAACAAGAUCUCUGGAGGAUGAGGAGCACAGUCAAGUUUGAGAAGCAAUGCUGCAGGGCACAUCCUCUUUACUUCUAAGUGGAACUUCUAAAAUAAAGCAUUCUCUGAAGUAUGAAUCCAACAUUAAAAGGUUCAUCUCAGAUUACAAAUACCCUUAUUACAAUAUUAAAAAUUUGUACUAUAUGAAUAUUUUCAUGCACAGCAUAACCACUAACUAUAACACUUUGUAAACUGCAGUUUAAUUGACGUAUUAAGACAGCACGCAGUCUUUCCAACAGGAAGAUUUUAUUCACAAAAAUGGCUAAAUCUGCAUUAAAUUUAUCUUCUUUUAGUGUUUUAAAUCUAUUUAUUCAGGUGAUUUCUAUAAGCAUCCAAAGCAAGGAUUAUUUGAAGAAGUAUCUAGGUAACAUGUUUUCUCCAAAGUACCUAGGUUGUUCAGAAACCGAAGUCACUGAGACAAUAUUCAGUGAUUGAUAUAAAAGUUUGUAAAAAUUUGAAAACAAGGGAAAGAAAUGCCAGGGUUGAUGAAACCAUGAACAUAUGGUUUCUACUGAAUGUAUUAAGAUAUAUUGUAAAUACUGGCAGAGAAACUCUUCUCUUGCUUUGCUUUGGGAUGUUCAAAUGUGGUAGGUUCUGAUGGGCACAACAACAAAAUAUUUAUUUAUUUAUUUAUUUAUUUAUUUAUUUAUUUCCUUACUUACUUAUUUAUUAGCAGCAUACCUGGAGACAGAUGUAGCAUAUAUGCACAUGCACACUUUUACAAAAUAGACAUCCAGUCAACUACAACACACACACGUGUUCCCAUUUGCACACAAACACACACACACACACUCACAUACACACUACAAACAUAUUAUAACACAGAAAAUAAUGUGAAGUCCAGAUGUCUCAAGAAUCGAGCUUAACAUUAAUUUUAACUAGACACCAAAAGCUUCAGGUGAAUCCUGUUCCUCCUGAAUUUAGAUGGCUUGCUCCCUUGUAAUUCACCAGAUCUGAUCAAGCUUCACAGUAUGAUUCCAGCAUGCCUCUUUGUUUCUGUUGUUUUUCUCAAUCUUGCUGGCUAAACAAUGUAGCAAGCUUAAUAAGUUCAAAUAAAACUUCUGAUUGGUUUGGCAGCAGUUUAACAAUCUAGAAUAAUUUACUGAUCUCAGAGACUUCAUGUGAGUCCAUAAUGUUUAGACUAGAAAUAAUGAAAUGCACUCAAUUGAUUAAGCUGUUUGUAAAUGUCUAAAAACCAGCAUAUUGUAUAAUUGCAAAUAUUUUAUAAUUACCAAGUGGGGCUGAUAAAAGGGUUCAGUCCUAUUGACUCCUGGACUGAUAACCUUGAUGAGGGGAGAAUCUCAAUGACAGGUGAAUUCUCUGUGGGCUGAAUACAGAGUAAACCCAGGAUGCAGAGUGUUGCUGCUUCUGUUGUUUUGUGGAUGUGGCAGGAUUCCCCAAAGCUCUGCUCUACAGAAGGCCAUGCUGGAGAACCUAUGUAAAUGCCCUCAGUCAACCUAGAGUACAAUUUCUUUGAAUUCUUGGUGAGAGCUGAGAGCAUAAGAAUUGAAUCUAUAAAAAGAGUGGCCAACAAAUGGAGAAUUUCACCAGAAUUUUCCAGUAAGACUGUUUUGCUUCUGUUUGUUUUUAAAUAAUUCCUCAGAUUUUCUAGUUUAUUUUUGAAAGAUUUCAAUUUAUUAUUGUUACUAGCACUUUUACUUUCUAAGUACCUCUGACAAUUGAAUAGAAAAGGUGAGAUGUCCUCAUCUGUUUCUGAUCUUAUGGGCAAAUUACUCAGUCUUUCACCAUUAAAUAUGAUAUUAGCUGUGGGGUUUAUGUGGAUAACCUUUAUCAGAUUAAGUAAAUUUCAUCUGAUUCUUAGCUUUGUCUGGUUUUAGUAUCAGCAUAAUUAAUGCUGGCCUCAGAAUAAGUUGAGAAGUACUUCCCUUGUUUCCAUAUUUUGGAUAAGUUUAUGAUGAUUUUAAUUUAACUCCUCUUUUAAAAUGUGAUAGGAUUCACCACUCAAGUCUUCUGGGAACUGAGAUUUAUGGGGAGUUUUAAAAUUACAAGUCAAUCACUUUAUUUGUUAUGAGUUAUUAAUUAUCCCAGAGGUAAGGACUAAAAUGGAACAACUUCAUCCAAAUCCAAUUUCCAUGUCCAGUUUUCUAAGAGAUGUUCACUUUGAAUCGCUCUCCUGCUAUGUUUGUUUCAUUGACCUGGAGUCUGAUUUCACACUUGUUUAAAUGACUAAUUUUUUCUAUUACUGGGAACCCAUACACACCUGUGUAAGCUAUUUCUUUUGUAACUUCUCAGUCCUUUGCUUAUUAUUUAGUGCCACUUUAAGAAGUGACUGAUUUGAUGACAGAAGAAUCACUCUGAAGUUGCAUAAUGAAUUUUCCAUUCCAUCUGAAGAGAUUUGGUAAACAAAAGUCAGAAAACUGCCUAAGUUUAAACACUUAUGAAGGCUACAACUAGCUCUGUCUUCAAAAAGUUGGGAUAGUCUGUUGUGGAUUUUUGUAUAGAUUAAAACAUAACUCUUUUUUUUUUUUUUUUUGUACCAGAGAUCGAACUUGGGUCCUUCCCACUUGUGCGGCAGGCGGCGGAACCAGUGCGCUAAAUCCCCAGCCCCUACAUCACUCUUUUUAGCGGAAAGUUUUAGCAGAAAAACAGAUGAUACAGGGAGAUAAAUGCUAAGGACAUUGGCAGAAGGGGAAGCCUCAUGAGUUUGAAGUGUCUGAAUAUUUAGACAGCAUUGCAUACUAAAUCUUCACUUUCAUAUGUACCAGAGUUCAUGCCAAAUUUAUUGUAGUAAAAUAUGCAAGCUGGAAUUGGGGUUUUUGUGACCUGCAUUUAUUUCUGGAUACAUGUUUGAUAGGCAGAAGAAACAGAACACAUGUGUUCAUCCAUUUUGAACUCAUUAACAAAGCAGAAACAUUAAUAAAAUAUGUCUUUUGCUGGUUUCUGGAAUGGAAGAGGGAACAAUUAAGCUGUAAGACACUCCAGGGUGGGUAUUAUGACCUAAUAAUGAUAUGCCCUGGCAGUUUUGACUGAGUGCUAUUAACUGCCAAAGCACAUCAUUGCUCGUCUGUAAUACACACCCUAGAGUGUCUUAUGGGGAAGAUAUAAAUGUUAGUUCCUAAAGAAAUUCAUUCAGCAAAAGAAGAUAUCACUGCUCUAAGAAGGGAAAUAUGUCAAAAUUUCCAUGUUGAGUUUAGUUUUUUAAGGCAGACUCACUCAAACUUUUCAAGCAUUUACCUGGGGGGAAAAAACAGUGCAGUGUAACCUGAAAAGAAGGGGCCCAGAAAGUGAAGGGUGAGGACUUGUAGUCUAGCUCUGCUUAUUUCUCUUGUCCUUUUAGGGGGCCUUGUUGUCCCACCACUCAUAUUCUCAAUUUUUUCUCUUUUCUAGUAAGGUUAAUGCCCAUUUUAUACUGUAUUUGGGAAAUAAAACAAAAUUAAAAUACUUUAAAUUUCCUUACAAUCCAUCUGAGCUGCUUAGCAGACACACACUAGGAUAUAGUAAGAAGCAAACAAUCUGUAGAGCAUUUGAAAAUGUAAAUUAUCAAGUGGAUGAAAAUUUUAUUUUUAAGGAAGAAUCUGAUGUGGGUAUUUUGGACUGUUAUUUGUUCAAGUUGACAUUUGCAACUGGCACACACUGCCUGCGGUCUAUUAGUUCUAAACUUUCUAUUAACAUUGAACCCCCUUUCUUGGCAUGUUAAAAUACACAGUUCAGGACCACACAGCAAUUCUUGAGUAGAAUGAUAUGGAAUUGUUGUUUCCCUUCAAUUCAACAUGUCUCUUGAGACCAAGGGUAGAUAUUUUGGUCAAAAUAAGAUCUCUAUUUGAACUCUAUCACUCAGUUUUUGCUUUGUCUAUUUAUCUAAAUUGUUCUUUCAUUAUGAAGGCAUUGUCUCAUCUUGAUAAUGCCAAAUGCAACCUUCUCAAUUAUAAGGAAUAUCAACAAACAUUUAUCCAACAGAGAUAGAGGAUACAGAACAACAUGCCUAAACUUUGUAAGAUCUUCUCAUCUCUCUGUUGCACACAACACAAAGAAAAACACUGUAAUAUAAAUUUUGUUCUAUACAACAUUGGUAAUCCCAAUAGUUACCAAAUUAGCAGCAUUAAUAUUUAUGCAUUAACAUUCAUGAAAGAUAGACAAUAAUAUUUAAUAUUUAUGUGCUCAUUAUGUCAGUACAAUAAAUAAAAGAUUAUUAUAUAUCUGAAUCCCUGGUAAGCAAAUGCACAGAAACAAUUAUACAUGGAUUGUCCAUUGUUUGAAAUUGAGAUUCUGUGCAGCACAUGAAACACAUGAUAUUAAUGGAUAAAAAUAUCUCUUAGGAACAAACGUGAUUUUCCUAAGUUGGGAUGAAAAAGCAACAUCAUUUGUUGUCCCUUAGCCCUAUCUUAUGGGUCAGUUUUCCCUACUCAUGAGCAAAGCAUGCAACCCUACUUCUACCCAGAUAUUUUACAAAUUUCCUAACUAGAGAAACAGCAUGAGGCAAUGUGAAAGGGUAGAUCCAAAUUCAUCACCACCAUGAAAAACAAAGCAAAAUGCAAAAUUCAGGGAAAAAAACCAACCCAUCUCCUCAGCAGCAUGAUAGUGAAUUUUUUUCUUUUUUUUUCUAUCUACAUCUCUUCUUGUUGGAGAGUAAAGGGAUAUCAGGAGGGCUGCUUGAUACAUAGAGCAUGACUAUGAGAAGAGAGAAAAAUGACACAUGAGGAGGCAGCAGAGUGCUAUAAAAGGAGGUGGAAGAAUGCCUGGAGGAGAAGUGAGGUAUCAGAUAUGCACAGGGCCUGCAAGGGAAAGAGGUUGGUGGGUUUUUGUUUUGUUUUGUUUUGUUUUGUUUUUGCUGUUUCAAUGUUUUCUUUUUCUUCGCUGGAUGGACAAUGUACACUAAGAUACAAAUGGACUUAGUGAAUACAUUUUUUGCUAUAAAGGAUACUGAGAAACAGAGAGGAAAGGCCAGAAAAGAAUGUUGUGGAACAAAUUAAUGUGGUAUUAAUUUUUUUCUGUAUGAAAGGAUGUGUGUAGCAAUGUAACUUGGGGAAAUAUAAUGUGAAAUAAUAUGGCUCUUGCUUUCUAGGACUUUUCAAUGUAUUGGGGAUGAGGUAAGCAUAAUAAAAAUGGCAUUAAAAUAGUAUAAGUUGAGUGUCAUUGGUGUUGGAAGAAUGGGAAUUAACUGAAAUUCUGAGGCUCCCUGGAGAGCAAGAUGGGAUGAAAUCAUAGAAUGAAGCAAUCACAAGGAAGACUUUAUGGAAGAGCCAGCUACACAUCCAUAUAGUGUUGGAUUUGCCUAAAUGGAAAAAAUAACAGGGAAGAUUCUAGUAAAGUGGUUGAAAAUAUCAGACAGAUAUUGAAGAUACAAUGACAGAAAAUCUCAUAUGUCAGAUCACAGUGACAGGAGCUCAGGAUGGGGAGCUUGUCAAAGUUGUAGGCAGGCCAUCAGCACCAGGUACCCUACUGGUGAGGGCCACUGAGGAGCAUCACAAGAGCCCUUUUAAACUGUGAUGGUUAAUUUUAUGUGACAUCUUGACUGAGCAAAAGGAUGCCCACAUAACUGAUAAAGCACUACUCUGGAUGGGUCUGUGAGGUUGUUGCAAGAAGCGAUUAUCAUUUGAAUCAGUAGAUUGAGCAAAUCAGAUGCACCUUCACCCACCUGGAUAAGAAUCAGCUAAUUCAUCAUAGAUCUCCCUGGAUAGAACAAAAAGACAUUAGGAAGGUGAAUUUUUUUCUCACUUCUCAAAAUGGGACAUCUAUUAUCCUGCCCUCAGAACUUCUAGCUCUUGGGCCUUUGGAAUCCAGGAUGUAAAAUAUCUCUCCACUCCAUAGUUCUAAAAUCUUCCUCCUGGGAUUGGGAUUUGCACUUUCUGCUUCCCUGGCCUCUCUGAUUUUGAGCCCAUCUGGAAUCACACCACUGGCUGGCAUAGUUCUCCAGCUUAUACAUUGCAGAUUGUGAGGAUCCCUGGCUUCCAAAAUUACAUGAGACAAUUUCCCUGACAAAUUGUCUCUUAUAUAUCUAUUUGUACCCUACUGAUUCUAUUUAUCAGGCGAUCCCUGGUGAAUACAGGUUGGUUAUGAUACUAAAAGUAUUUCAAAGAUGGAAACACAAAAUAGAAAUUCAAUUACUGAGUCUAUGACAGACAUUGACAAAGAUGGAUUUUUUUAAUCUAAUCUUUAGUUUGAUUUUGCUGUGACACCCAGGGAUGAGGAAGAUGGGGGAUCACUGAGAUGACAGACAGGUAGAUUGGGGCUUAAGGAUAGGUUGAAAGCAUUGGUUGGACACUGCUUCUUUGAAAUUGAAAUAUACUCAAAAUUUAAUGAUUUGUUUUUCUAGGCCAUAUAAAAAUAUCUGCAUCAAAAUGUCCCUCUAUCAAAAUAAUCACAUUAAAAUAUCAGGGACCCAGCUUGAGACCAUUGCAGAAGCUCUGUUAUUAUACCUGACAUAAAGAUUUAUGGCUAAAAUAGCAGCAAUGCUGACUUAAUCCUGAAUCUCAAAGAGUUAGCUGUAUUAAUUUAAAUCCCUCCUGCCUAGGUAAAAAUGUAUGUAGGUCCCACCUAUAGAAGCAAAGCUGAGGCUCCAGGUGGGAGCUAAACCAAAGCCUUUGGUUCUGAGCCAUUAGUAGCUAUGGUUUCAAGUAAAUAGACCAGCACUCAGAAUAGACCUUGAUUCAAGAUAAUUGAACUUUAUUCCCAAAUGGAAACUUACAACAGCAAAAAAGUAGAGUCAUAAAUGAAAACAUGAAUCUAUAUAUUAGUAUCUCUAUAAGUGCAACUUUUAAGUUUUAAGGUAAUUUAAGAAAGUAUUGAGUACAGUAAUAGUUUCUACUAUUUUUUUUCUUUUAAAACAAUAUUAAACUAAAGGAAAAAAACAUUUACUCCAAUGAUGACAAAUGGGUAAUAGCCACAGUUUAUAAGGAGCUAACAUGGAUUCAUAAAAAUAUUAAAAUCUUGAAUGAUAUGUGUGUUUACUUAUUGCACAAAUAUACACUGAAUGGUGUUUAUGCACAAAUAGUGCUAAGGUUUACUAUACAGGGGAAAGCAAGAAUGAUAUGGCCACAACCUUUUGAAAUUUACAAUUGUAGCCAGCAAAUAAUGUCAACCAUUUACAUAAAAAAUGCAAUACUUAAAAGUAUGAAAAAUUUUCAGUUUCUAAAAUACGUACCAGAAUAUGAAAAUGAAUAUACUAGUAACAUACAGUUUUGUUUUGAACCAGAAAAUUUGUCAUAAAAAUAGAACAGUUGAAAUCAUUAUUGUUGGAUGUAUAAUUUGUAUAAACUUUUAGGAAAACAAUUUGUCAAUAUACUUCAAAAAGCCAUAAAAUUUUUAUAUCUUUAGCCCAGUAAUUUCACUCUUGGAAAUUUACCCAAACAUAAUAAAACAAAAAGAGAACUUAUACAUGGAGCUAUUAAUUGCAGCACUAUUUGUAAUAGCUCAAAAUUAGAAACAACCAGAAUGGCCAUCAAUAGAAAAGAAUUUAACUGAAUUAUGGCACAUCUGUUGGAUGGAAAAUUACGUACCUAUUUAAAUGAAAACUAUGAUGAUUAUAUAGUCAAAUGGAAAGGGCUUAUAAUAAUUAUGCAAAAAUAACAAAAUUGACUACAUUUACAAAAAUUCAUGUGCAUCUAUAAAGGAAAGGAGAAAUGAGCAUAUAAAAUUAAAAUAACUGGGUUAGAAAAUAGGAUUAUGUAGUUUGAUCUCUUCUAUUAUUCUUUUGAAAAAUGGAAAUUGAAAGAUUCAGUAGUAUAUGUGAAAAAAUAAGGCAAAUCAGGUAGAAGUAUUGUAUAGGCCUGAUUACAUGAUAUUGGAACAUUCUUUCUUUGGCUCAAUUAUAGGAUAUUACCAGAAAAAUAAAAUAAAAUAAAUUUUUAGUGAUAAAUGGUUCAAAUCAUUGAGAGAUUUUCCACUCUGGAAGGAAUUUUAACAAACGUACAGAUAAAAUAUGAUUUUGUGAAAGUGAAUAAGAAGUUGAGAACUGUGAAGCAGAAAGGUUGCUUUGGACUGCACUGAAGGCUGAGAUAAAGUGAACUGGAGGCUACGGAUCAUACAAAAGGGCAUUUCAAAUUAUUGCAAUGAGGAAGUGGAUAGGAAAAGUGAACAGUUAAGAUAAAUCUGAGCUGAAACAUAAAGAAGUUGACAAGCUAGGUCGUGACUGGACAUGGGCUUUUCAAUCUGGAUACAGAAAAAUGGUAGUGGCAAUGACAGAUAUAGAAAUUGGGAACAGAUGCAAUGUUGUAGAUAUAGUUAGUGUUCUCCAAGGGUCCACUGAGAUUAAAGGCUUGGUUUUCUGAGUGGUGCUGUUUAAUGGUGAUGAAUCCUAUGGGAGAUAGGGCUUAGUGGAUGGUACUCUUAAAUUGCUGAGCAUGUGCUCUCAGAAGGUACUUCCUCUGGUACCUCUUGGUAGUUCUUUCAAGAAGACUGUUAUAAAAACUCAAGUUUGAACUCCCCCCGCCACCCCGGUUUUAGAUGUAAUCUAUUGCUUGCUCCUGUACAUGUUCCCACCAUUGCCUUCCACACUAUGAUAUCAUGCAGCCAAGGGGUGGCCGCUGAGCUUUAGGUUUGCUGUUUGAACUAUGAGCCUUUAAAACUGUGAGCUAAGGAAACCUUUUCUUUAUGUAAAAUUCAUUGCCUGAGGUAUUUCAUUGUAAUGUAAAGUCAAUGAAUACAGAUAGAUUCAUCUGUUUUUGAAUAUAUAAUUCAAAUAAGUUUUAGCCACUGAACUAUGGUAUUUAAAAUUGACUAAGCAAAGAUGCUUUGGUUGAAAAAAAAGCCAGAACCCAAACUUCUGGGCCUUUUACACAUCUCUUUGUAGGUGACUAUAGAACAUGUUAGAACCUUUUAAAUUAUGAAGUAUCUCUUUUUCAGAAAUACAUAGUAGAGAUACUUGCACCUUAGAUGACUUGGGCUCAAUCCUGUCUUUCUAUUGCCUAUUUGGAUAUGGUUCCCAACAAGUCUCUUCUUUCUUUCAUGAACUAAGCACUGCUAGCCUUUUAACAUUUUGACCCAUAUAUCAGUUUUAACCUGAGUUAAAUGUUACAUCUGUGCAAACUAAUCAUUAGAUGCCAAAAGUGGAUCUCCCAGUAUGGGACUAUAUGAAAUUGAACAAAGGUUACUCCAUGUUGCCUCACUUGAUACUCCCCCCCCCCCCCUUCUGAGUAAACCAUGUGAUGUCAUUUCUGGAAAGAAAAACAAAGGUUCACGGAAUUCACAGUGUUCUUUAAAAUUACCCAACUCCCCAUAAACAGAACAUGUACUGGAACAUGCCACCUACUAUCUAAAUGUAUUGGAACAUGCUAUUUAAAUCCCCUAACCUUCAGCAUCUCGCUUUUGUAAUCUCUGCUUGCUAACUUCCCCUUGAAACCCCUAUAAAAGAGCCUCGGACUCUGAGCCAGUUGCCUAUCUAAGCAACUUUGCUUUGGGAGUGCCGUCUGGCCAGACUAAUAAAGGUCUGUUUUACUUUCCAACUUGUCCGGUGUGUUCCCUCCUGGGUAUUCUUCACUGCAGUCAGCUCCUCGGAACGUUUGGUAAGGCCCACGGUCUUACACCAGAACUACCGAAUCAGAACACUUUAGGAAUAGCCUAGCCCUCAUUCUCACCAUACCAAGUGGGAAAUCCAGGCCAAGAGAUCACUCACCACAUGCAGGCUUCCUGUCUUUAAGUCCUUCUACAGUAUCACCAAAUCCCCUUAAACUAUGUUUCUGGAACUUGAAAUAAACAAAGUGAACUUGGAAAGUAUUUCCUUUUCUUUUUCCUUUCAUAAUAACAAGCACUAUUGCACAGUUACUCAUAAAAUGUUAAUUACUCUCCCUUCCCAAUAACAUCCUGAUUUUCAGUUUAAAUGAUUAGCUUAAAACAUUGGGCAUUUCAACAACAAAAACCUAUUCCCUUUUCAAUAUACCUUCAAUUUUUUAUUUCUUAUAAAUAUUCAAUUGAAUAUUUCCAUUGGUGGUGUAUGUUUGCUAAUUCACUGGAAGUUGAAUUCUAUUCCCCAGAAAUGUCACUUGGGUGGCCCUGCUGGGCUAAAAUGGAGAGUCUUAGUACUGAUUUUUGAACUCUUAGUUCUGUAUAGAAUUCAACAGCUGUUUUCUUUCUCUAGGGUGUUUGUGAAUAACAGAAGUUUCAAGAGUAUUCAGGUAAGAUUCCUCUUUGAAAAUAGAAGCUGUCCUUAAGGUAGAAUUCAUAUUUUUUAAAGGUAAAGAAGGAUUUAACUCUGAUGAGAUAAUUACCUACUAAUCAUGUUAUUGGUCACCCAGCAUGGAGCCAUCUUCCAUCAAAUAAAGCUAUAGCAUGUUGAUAGAUUAAAAACCCAACACAGUCAUUACACUUCCCCAGUUGAUUACAGAAAGACUUGGCCAACAAGGUACUUGUGAGUUUUGUUAAAGAUCUGCAUAGGCUUAUUCACUUUAUCUCUGUGAACUCUCAAACAGGAAUUAGAAAAACACCACUGUUAUUAUUGAUGAUGAAGAAAACACUCUCAUCUUCCUAGGCAAAAGACCAUACUGUCAUAUCUAUUCUGAAUACAGGAAAGACACCACACUCCCUUCAAAAGAGUUGUGGAAAAGCCCAACAUAACCUUCAGAAAUAGGCUUUCAGGAGGCAUGCAAUAAAUAUAGAAAAAAAUAGACUUUUUCUCCUCCAGCAGAUGAACCUACCACAAGAACAUCUUAAGAGUUGUUUUAAGCUCCAUACAGUGAAGAGGAUAUACUAUCAGACUGCCUCAUAAUCCAUUUGAGGAAUUACUAGUGGACAUUAUGCUGAAGCCCAGAAAAUAAAGGUCAAAGACAAAUUCAGACAAAUUAAAUUGUCUUUCCUUUGCUGUAGUCUCAACAGUUCUGGACUCUCAGAGGCCUUUAAAUGUGACAUUGUCACAUGUCCAAGAGUAGCUGCUAACACCAGAGUUGCAGCCAGAUGUGGGAUAAGUUGAGUCAGAGAGCAAGCAGAUGGGAUGGUGCACCAGCCAUUUGCUAGGGUGGCCAUACCAUCUAGUUUCUUUCAUCUAAUGUCAGGUGCAGGAUACCAGGGAAGAUCUACACAAGUUCCAUUCAGCUGCCAGGAGCCUAAGUAGAUCUAAAGUUGGGAUGGAGCUGGGCCUUACAAUCCUAUGCAUUCUCGGUAACAAGAAAGUUUUGAUUUGACCUGUGAGGGAGAGGAAAUGCCAUAAUUGUGCACUUUUCAAAAUUCUGUAGGAGAUUUUAAUAGGCAACUCCAACACUCCUCCCAACUCUCAUUUAUUCAUUAAUCCAUAAGACUUUGCAUGUGAAAUUUGUUCCUUAAAUCUCUUUAUCUUGAUGAGAGAUACAUAAACUGUCUAUUCUUGUUUAUAACAUAAAUUAAUACAGGAAAAUCUCUAUCUUACCGAAGUAUAUAUUUUCUCAUGAAUGCAUC